rnacentral:lncRNA from 1 species
UGAACCCUUCGUGAUGCUAGCACUGUGUCAUGCUCACCUAUAUCAUUCCCAUCUCCUUCUAAAUGGUCUGGUAGUUCCUCUUCUUCAUUGUAAUUCCCAAUUGUCUUCUUGAGCAAGGAUAUGUGGAACAUUGGGUGCACUCGUGAUCCCUCAGGUAAUUUCAAUUUGUAAGCACAAUUCCUCGAGCCACAAUUGGAUAGGGACAACAAAUUUUAGCUUAUAACUUCGCAUAAAUACAAGCCACCACUGAUUGGGGGACUAAAAGUCGGAAGCAAAAGUUAUGAUAGAAAAAAAAAAAAUUAGGACUAAAAGUUGAAGAAAUCUUUAAAAGUUAAAUAAAAAAUUUAUAUAUUUACAAAAACCAAAAAUAUAUUUAAGCCAAAAUUUUCUGAAGAGAUUCUCACAGGACAUAAUUUCCCUUCCAAUUCGCACACGACUUUUUUGCUACAAUCCAGUAAGAGAUUGAAAUACGUUUGUUUCCUUCUUACAUGUAUAACCCCUCUUAACAUUUUCAAGCAUAUUUCAAAUGUGUGCAUGUUGGUUCCAAAAUAUUUAACCAAUAAUUAAGUUACAAUUGAGCAUUAUGGAACAACCUCAUGUUCAAUUGAUUCAUGCGUACAUUACCAUAUGUCAUUCAUCUGUACCUCCUAUUUAUAUAUAUAUAUAUAUAAUAUAAUUAUAAAUGAUAAUUUUCUAUCUAAUCCUCGAGCAUCAUUGUUUAUUUU